UAGUUCAGCACUAAGUCACUUUGUCUUAAUGGCAAAUGUGAGAUGCAGUGUAUGGAAUGUCAAAUUUCUAGUAUGAGAAAUUAACGAUUUAAGUCCUUCUUAAAUGAGGCCAUUUACCCAAAGAGGGUGCCAGGCCCGUAUAACGUUAAUGAUUACUAGAUGGCAUUUCCAAAGAGUCGUGUUGCUUGAUAGUGCAGCACUAAGUGGGUGGUAAACUCCAUCUAAAACUAAAUAUAACCAUGAGACCGAUAGUAAACAAGUACCGUGAGGGAAAGUUGAAAAGAACUCUGAAUAGAGAGUUAAAUAGUACGUGAAACUGCUUAGAGGUUAAGCCCGAUGAACCUGAAUAUCCAUUAUAGAAAAUUCAUCAUUAUGAUUUUAAUAUUUAUAAUAUUAUAAUAAUGGUGUGCAUUUUUUCUAUAAAAGGACAUUGUAAUCUAUUAACAUCAAAUAUUUAUCAAAAGAUCAAUUGCAAAAGUUUAUUCAAAUUAUUUUGCUUGCAAUUUAACAUAGAAUAAAUGCUUUUGAUUUGAUAAAGUGUUGAUAGAUUUAUUAUAUAUAGUGCUUGAAUAUUUAUAUUCUAUAAUAGCAUAUUAAUCAUUGAUUUUUAUGUUUAUUAUAUGCACUUAUAUGAUUAACAAUGCGAAAGAUUCAGGAUACCUUCGGGACCCGUCUUGAAACACGGACCAAGGAGUCUAACAUAUUUGCAAGUUAUUGGGAAUAAAAACCUAAUAGCGAAAUUAACAUAACUUAUUUAAUGGGAUUAAUUUUUAGCCUAUUUAUAGUCUAUUAAUUCAAUCCCGGGGCGUUCUAUACAGUUAUGUAUAAUAAUAUUUAUAUUAUUUAUACCUCUAACUAGAGCGUACCUUGAGCAUAUAUGCUGUGACCCGAAAGAUGGUGAACUAUACUUGAUCAGGUUGAAGUCAGGGGAAACCCUGAUGGAAGACCGAAACAGUUCUGACGU
rnacentral:rRNA from 1 species